CUUAGUGGCGGACGGGUGAGUAACGCGUGGGUAACCUGCCUUAUACAGGGGGAUAACAACCAGAAAUGGUUGCUAAUACCGCAUAAGCGCACAGGACCGCAUGGUCCGGUGUGAAAAACUCCGAUGGUAUAAGAUGGACCCGCGUUGGAUUAGCUAGUUGGCAGGGUAACGGCCUACCAAGGCGACGAUCCAUAGCCGGCCUGAGAGGGUGAACGGCCACAUUGGGACUGAGACACGGCCCAG
rnacentral:rRNA from 1 species